GAGAAUUCUCCUGCAGAGCUCUUCUUGUUCCCCACCUACAAGGUUAUACAGGGAUAGAGAAAGACCACUAAACUACUGGAAACUUCCGGUGUAGAUACACCUCUAGUAAUCCCAGCAACAUUCACACCUCAGGAAUUUUGAAGAGGUAAGAGAAGCUUCAAGUUCCUGAUAUUAAAGUGAUGUUCUUGCGAUCAAGGGGACUCUAUCAUGGCAACAGGAAGCAAGGCACAAUUAAUCAUUGGCAAAAGAAAAAAACACCCCACAACAACUUCAAGCAGUUUUGGAGACAGUGGGAACAUCAAAUUGCAGCUCUUGUACACUGCAGUAAAGCAAGCUUUGAGUCUCACAAGAAAAGAAAAGAAAAGAAAAGAAAAGAAAAGAAAAGAAAAGAAAAGAAGAGAAGAAAGAGAGAAAUUGCUAGCAACUGUCCUGGCUGAUUAAUGUUCUGAAAGGAAAGAGGGUUGUGUGUGAACACUACUUUUUUCUUUAGUAAUACAAGUCUGAUGCUGUGUUGACUGGUACAGAACUGUUGCUUUUAAUUGCUGACUAAGCCCACUCAUUUACAAAUGCCAGAAGUAAGAGGUUAAAAAUGAAGUGGCUGAAAUAAGACAGAAGUGCUCUGGUUUUCAGAGGACCUUAAAUAUAAUCCAAUUAGACCAAAAUCUUUCUCCACCUAAAGGGUUUUGUAUUAAGAUGAAAUGUAAGUCUGGAUGUAAUUGAGACAGAAGGCAGGAACAGGUGAGAUGUAAAGAGGAAAAUGCAAUUUGCCAUGUUCUGCUUUCCUUUGCCAGUAUUGUUAUGUGCGGCUUACUUAGCAGGUAACUCCAGCCUGAUUCUUUAGGCUUUUUAUUUAGCUUUAUUAUAGGAGAGGAGGGGAUGCUUGCUUGUUUUAGUCACUUAUGAGAUAAAUACAGGAAAACUGCUUGUCAUUUAUUGGUUUAUCCAUUAUCAUCUCCAGCAUAGGAUAGAGUGGUCUGAUUUCAAAGUGACAGCUGGUGGUGUCGCUUCCUGAUACAUGCUAAUCCAGUUUUUAUUAUGGAAAAACUGCCUGUGCUUGCAGGCAGCGAAAGGGAGUUGCUAAAUGUAAUCACUAAGGAGGGAACCUUAGGAUCUUGCAUAUAAAAGCCUAAAAUGAACUGUUUUCUCAUUAAGCGGGUGGUAUCCUGAUUAAAUACAGAUGUAGGGCAAGGAAAGUAAUUUAUAUCCAUGAGCACAGAAUGUUGCUCAGUUUGUGAUUUUAAUAAACAGUGCUUUUGCUUGCUUUUCCACUGAAACCGUGAACAUAAAAAUUGGCUAAUAUUUUAAUAAAUACAGCUAUUAAGAAUCCUGCUUGGAGUUGGACCAAAAUUUAGAAAUGAUGUCAAGAUUUGCUGGUGAAGGGGACAGUCUUGAUUCCCUGUUCUGCUUAACAUGAGUAGAGUGCUGUGAGAUGUAUGAUGUUCCA